rnacentral:rRNA from 1 species
UAAAAGCUCGUAGUUGGAUUUCUGUCUUUGUUGUGCGGUCCACCGCAAGGUGAGCACUGUGUGAUGGGGACUUCCUCUCGAUGUUGGGCCGUGUUCUUAACUGAGCGCGGUUUUGACUCGGGACCUUUACUUUGAAAAAAUUAGAGUGUUCAAAGCAGGCCUACGCUUGAAUACAUUAGCAUGGAAUAAUUGAAUAGGACUUUGGUUCUAUUUUGUUGGUUUCUAGGACCGAAGUAAUGAUUAAUAGGGACAGUUGGGGGCAUUAGUAUUUAAUUGUCAGAGGUGAAAUUCUUGGAUUUAUGAAAGACUAACUACUGCGAAAGCAUUUGCCAAGGAUGUUUUCAUUAAUCAAGAACGAAAGUUAGGGGAUCGAAGACGAUCAGAUACCGUCGUAGUCUUAACCAUAAACUAUGCCGACUCGGGAUCAGUGGGGUGAUUUUAGCCGCAUUGGCACCGUACGAGAAAUCAAAGUUUUUGGGUUCUGGGGGGAGUAUGGUCGCAAGGCUGAAACUUAAAGGAAUUGACGGAAGGGCACCACCAGGAGU